GGUCAACAUCUUCCUGGUAUUUCUACCCAUGGCAAAUCCCACUGCACCGUCAAGGCUGAGAAUGGAAGCUUGUCAUUAAUGGAAAUCCCAUCACCAUCUUCCAGGAGCAAGAUCCCACCAAAAUCAAAUGGGGUGAUGCUGACGCUGAGUACGCUAUGGAGUCCACUGGCAUCUUCACGACCAUGGAGAAUCUCGGCCAGGGCUUACGUAACGGGGGAGCCAAAAGGGUCAUUAUCUCUACCCCCUCUGCUGAUGCCCCCAUGUUCAUAAUGGGCAUGAUCCAUGAGAAGUAUGAAAACAGCCUCAAGAUCAUCAGCAAUGCCUCCUGUACUACCAACUGCUUAAUCCCACUGACCAAGCCCACCCAUGACAACUCUGGCAUUGUGGAAGGACUCGUGACCCAGAAGACUGUGGAUGGUCUCCGUGGGAAACUGUGGCAUGAUGUCUGUGGGGCUCUCCAGAACAUCAUCCCUGUAUCUACUGGUGCUGCCAAGACUGUAGGCAAGGCCAUCCCCGAGCUGAACAGGAAGCUCACUGACAUGGCCUUCCAUGUUCCCUUCUGCAAGUGUGUUGGUUGUGGACCUGACCUGCCAUCUGGAGAAACCUGCCAAAUAUGAUGACAUCAAAAAGGUGGUGAAGCAGGCGUUGGAGGGCCCCUCAAGGGCAUCCUGGGCUACGCUGAACACCAGGUUGUUUCCUCUGACUUGAACAGUGACACCCACUUUUCCACUUUCAGUGCUGGGGCUGGCUUUGCCCUCAGUGACCACUUUGUCAAGAUCAUUUCCUCAUAUAACAAUGAAUUUGGCUACAGCAACAGGGUGGUGGCCCAUAUGGCCUCCAAGGAGUAAGACUCCUUGACAGCCAGCCCCAGUGAGAGCACAAGAGGAAGAGAGAGACCUUCAGCUUCUGGGGAGUCCCUGUCACACUCAGUCCCCCACCACACUUGGAAUCUCCCCUCCUCACAAUUUCCAUGCAGACCCCACAAAGCUCUGCCUUGUCGUGUACCAUCAAUGAAGUCCCCUGUACUCAAAAAAAAAAAAAAGAAAGAAAGAAAAUGAACAACCUGAUUUUAAAAAUAAGCCAAAGAUCUUAAUGGACACCUCAUCACAGAAGAUAUACACAUGGCAAAUAAACAUAUGAAAAAGAUGCUCCACGUCAUAUGUCAUCAGGGAAAUGCAAAUUAAAACAGUGAGAUCCCACUACACACUUACUAAAAUGGCUAAAAUCUAGAAUGCUGACACCACCACCAAAUGAUGGUGAGAAUGUGGAUUAACAGGAACUCUUAUUCAUUGCUAGUGGGAAUGCAAAAUGGUACAGCCACUUUGGGAGACAAUUUGGUGGUUUCUUAAAAAAACUAAACAUGCUCUUACCAUCCAGCAAUUACAUUCCUUGGUAUUUAGCCAAAGGAGUGAAAAACUGUCCACACAGAAACCUGCAUGUGGAUGUUCACAUCAGCCUUAUUCAUAAUUGCCAGAACAUGGAAGCAACCAAGAUGUCCUUCAGUAGGUGAACAGAUAAACUGUAAUACAUACAAAGAAUGGUAUAUUAUGCAGUCCUAAAGAGAAGCUAUGAAGCUGUGAAAAGAUACAGGAAACUUAAUACAUAUUACAAGGGAAAGAAGCCAAUCUGAAACAGCUACAUACUGUAUGAUUUCCAUUAUAUGACAUUCUGGAAAAGGCAAAAUGAUAGAGACAAUAAAAAUAUCAGGGGUUGGGUAAAGGGAGGGAUGCAUAGGCAGAGCCCCGAAGAUUUUUAGGGCAGUGAACCUAAUCUGCAUGAUACUGUAAUGAUGAAUACAUGUCAUUAUACAUUUGUCUAAACCCAUAGAAUGUAUAACACCAAGAGUGAACCCUAAUGUAAACUACGGACUUUGGGUGAUAAUGAUGUGUUAGUGUAGGAUCAUCAGUCAUAACAGAUGUACCCUCUGGUGGUGGCAGGGUGGGGGAUAUGGGAAAUCUGCUCAGUGUUGCUGUGAACCCAAAACUGAUCUAAAAAAUAAAGACCAUUUUUAAAAAGAUAAAUAAUGAAAGAUAUGCUCAUAGCUCAGUCGUGAUACUAGUAAUGCAGUUUUUUUUUUUUAUUUUUUUUGCAGAAUUGUGCUUUUGAAGAAAUCAGAAUGUUAUUCUCAAUUUUUUGGUGAUUAUUUAAAUUUUCCCCAUUUUUAUAUGGCUUCUUUUAAAAUGUUUCACUUUAUUCUUUUCCUAAUUUAUAUUAGAAUGGCAAUAUAUGUUUAACACUUGUAUUUUUAUACAUUUAUGGGUUUUUAAUGUUCUGAAAUGUUGUUUUUUACUUCAAAUGUGUUGAAUAUUUAACUUGUUAAAACAUUCCAGGCUGGGCACAGUGGCUCACACUUGUAGUCCUAGCACUUUGGGAGGUUAAGGCAGGAGGAUCACUUGAACCCAGGAGUUUGAGGCCAGCCUGGGCAGCAUAGUAAGACACCAUCUGUUUAAAAAAAAAAAUCUGAAUUAAAAAAAAAAAAAAAUAACCAGCAUUAAUGCUAGUGUUCCAUAUUAUGUAAAAUAAGUGUGAAAUACCCAAACUAUUGUUUUGCUUUCAUAUUGCUAUUGCAUUUCUUUCUUUCUUUUUUUUUUUUUCAUUUCUGAGUAGAUCUUUA